GCGGCGGACGGGUGAGUAACACGUGGGUAACCUGCCCAUAAGACUGGGAUAACUCCGGGAAACCGGGGCUAAUACCGGAUAAUAUUUUGAACUGCAUGGUUCGAAAUUGAAAGGCGGCUUCGGCUGUCACUUAUGGAUGGACCCGCGUCGCAUUAGCUAGUUGGUGAGGUAACGGCUCACCAAGGCAACGAUGCGUAGCCGACCUGAGAGGGUGAUCGGCCACACUGGGACUGAGACACGGCCCAGACUCCUACGGGAGGCAGCAGUAGGGAAUCUUCCGCAAUGGACGAAAGUCUGACGGAGCAACGCCGCGUGAGUGAUGAAGGCUUUCGGGUCGUAAAACUCUGUUGUUAGGGAAGAACAAGUGCUAGUUGAAUAAGCUGGCACCUUGACGGUACCUAACCAGAAAGCCACGGCUAACUACGUGCCAGCAGCCGCGGUAAUACGUAGGUGGCAAGCGUUAUCCGGAAUUAUUGGGCGUAAAGCGCGCGCAGGUGGUUUCUUAAGUCUGAUGUGAAAGCCCACGGCUCAACCGUGGAGGGUCAUUGGAAACUGGGAGACUUGAGUGCAGAAGAGGAAAGUGG
rnacentral:rRNA from 1 species